rnacentral:rRNA from 1 species
GACGAACGCUGGCGGCGUGCUUAACACAUGCAAGUCGAACGAUGAAGCCGGAGCUUGCUCUGGUGAAUUAGUGGCGAACGGGUGAGUAACACGUGAGUAACCUGCCCUUGACUCUGGGAUAACUGCGGGAAACUGUAGCUAAUACCGGAUACGACCCUCGGAGGCAUCUCCUGGGGGUGGAAAGAAUUUCGGUCAAGGAUGGACUCGCGGCCUAUCAGCUAGUUGGUGAGGUAAAGGCUCACCAAGGCGACGACGGGUAGCCGGCCUGAGAGGGUGACCGGCCACACUGGGACUGAGACACGGCCCAGACUCCUACGGGAGGCAGCAGUGGGGAAUAUUGCACAAUGGGCGCAAGCCUGAUGCAGCAACGCCGCGUGAGUGAUGAAGGCCUUAGGGUUGUAAAGCUCUUUCGUCCGGGACGAUAAUGACGGUACCGGAAGAAGAAGCCCCGGCUAACUUCGUGCCAGCAGCCGCGGUAA